AUUGAACGCUGGCGGCAGUCCUAACACAUGCACGUCGAGCGUAUGAAGGGUGCUUGCUUCUGGAUUCAGCGGCGGACGGGUGUGUAAUGCCUAGGAAUCUGCCUGGCAGUGGGGGAUAACUUCCGCGAACGGGUUCUCAUACCGCAUACGCGCGGUGGCAGAUAGUGUGUGGUUCUCUGAGCGCACGCUAGUAGACGAGCCUAGGUCGGAUUAGCUAGUUGGUGGGGCAAAGGCCUACCACGGCGACGAUCCGUAACUGGUCUGAGAGGAUGAUCAGUCACACUGGAACUGAGACACGGUCCAGACUCCUACGGGAGGGAGCAGUGGGGAAUAUUGGACACUGGGCGAAAGCCUGAUCCAGCCAUGCCGCGUGUGUGAAGAAGGUCUUCGGAUUGUAAAGCCCUUUCAGUUGGGAGGAAGGGCAGUAAGUUAAUACCUUGCUGUUUUGACGUUACCCACAGAAUAAGCACCGGCUAACUUCGUG
rnacentral:rRNA from 1 species